AUGGCAACUGUAGUGCCUUUUGCGUCCUGUUAUGGAAACAGCACUCUCCAUCAGCCUCUCCAACUCUUUGGGAAGGGCCCUAAGUGUGGCUACAUGUCCCUCAUCGCCUACCGUAGCCCUCGUAAUGUCCCCCGCCCGCAUCUGGCAUGCAAUGCCCCUAAAUUGACUCUAUGUCAGAUCUGCAGAAUGCUGCGUGUGAUGCGUUUUGAGGCUGCUGCUGCAGGCAACAACAGGAAGCAAGCAUCUUCUCCUCCUCCACCACCUAGCUCUCCGGCCAAGUCAAACAGGAGAUGUCUGCCUUCCUGCUUUCGCCACAGACGUAAUACUACUAACAUAAAGAGAUUUGGAUGAUAAUGGAUCCCAAAAAGCCCACCCCCUGCCCUUCCAACAAUCCUUACCCAGCCGAUGGGAGUGAGUUCCCUUCACGUUUCCACACAAACCAGUACAGAGAAAUACAGACUCCAUGUCCCCAUGCUUUGUUUGUUGGGGGUAGGGAGGGCACUCCUGAGACAAAGAAAACAUGUAUUUUGUGUACCAGUGACUGACAGACUCAGCUUCGACCACACUGAUUUAUUUUGUCUUGUGUGUAAUUUCAACAGGUGAAACUCUGCUCACUGCAAAGGUCAGUCAGUAAUUGAACCUGUGGAAUGUUUCCAGGGGUCAUGGAUGGGGACCAAACUGUUUUGGGGGUUUGGGUUGUUUUAUUUUUUUAGGUGUUUAAUUCUGGGUGUACAUUGCUAAACGGAAAGUGUAAUUGACUGACAUUGGCACUGUGAAAACCUGUAAUGGAUUUCAACCGUGGUUUCUUUAUUAAAGUUUUGACUAUUUCAAUCAACUUAACUCCUCGUCUGACGUAUUGUGCUGAUGUAAUAUUACAUGUUUGUUUGUUGUGUAAAUGUAAUCAAAUAGAUUACUGUCCAUUGAUGUGUAGACUCUGGGUUACAUGGUGGUUACAAAGACAGACAGUAGUUACAAUGGAAGACACAUAGUACUUGCAUACCUGUUUGUGGCAGACAUCAUUUCAAGCAUUUGCCAGUUAAUUCCAAAUGGAAACAUUACAGUUAUUACUGGCUUGGAGGAAGUUCUACUUACUAAGUUCUUGUCUAUCACGUUCCACCCCAUGCCACAUCUUUUGGUAUCUGCUGCUAGCUCCCGUAUCCGGGUAUUUCAUGGGUGCCCUGUUUUCCAUUUUCCUUAAGGGUUCCAGGAUAGAGCUGGAGGGAAGUUCAGGAACAAAC
rnacentral:lncRNA from 8 species